GUCACCACCAUCGUGCUCCUCGUGUUGUGGGCUUCAAAACCCAAUAACUUGUUCCUACAUCUACCAUAGUUGGGUGGUGGGCCCACCACGAGCCACCGCGAUCCACCGUAGACCGACGGUCGAAACUUAGUGUUCGAGGUUCCGAAGUACGUUUUGAGUUUCAGAAAAUCACCGUUUGACUUAUUGUGGAACCCGAUCAUUGUGGAUUUGUAUGGAUUUGAUUGAUUGACUCUUGCUGAGCAAUUUUAAAAUAAGCUAAGGACCUAAGGUGUGGCUUUAGCUGUUGAGCAACUUGUGGAGCACGGACUCAGUAGCAAUGCAAUAAUGGUUUAGAGUUUUCAUAUGGCUGCCUUAAAUUUAAAGUAUUCAUACGUGUAAUAAUUUCUACUAAUAAGUUUAU